GAUAUCAGAAAUUGAUAACAAAAGGAAAUUUGGUAAAUUCACAAGUAUGUGAAAUUUAAACAACACACUCCUAAAUAACCAAGGGGUAGGGGGCUUCCCUGGUGGCGCAGUG